rnacentral:lncRNA from 1 species
GACACUGUGCAUGUUUUGGAUGAUUUUGUGAAAGUGCCUUGUGCCCGGCAUAACCUGCCCCAGCUUCCGCACUUCAGAGUUGAGUCAUUUUCUGAGGAUGAAUGGAAUUUACUGUAUGUUGCAGUAACUCGAGCCAAGAAGCGUCUCAUCAUGACCAAAUCAUUGGAAAACAUUUUGACUUUGGCUGGGGCCUCUCUUAGGUAGGCUGACUUGGCCAUAGGAAUGUUUCCAGAAUUUGAAAUCUGAUGCAUUUUUCCCAGAACAGCUUUUCACCUGGGCUUCACCGAGUGCAACAGCUUAAGCGUCAGAGCUUAGAACUGAAGCCCUUUUUCUUUCGUUGCAUCUUUAGCCACUAAAGCACAUGGAUCGUCUGUAGACUUUUUCUGUAAAGGGCCAGGCAGUAAAGAUUUCGGACUCUGCAAGUCACAUGAUCUCUGUUGCAGCUACCCAGCCCCACUGCUGUAGUGCGAGAGCCCCUGUUGACAGUACAUUAGUGAACAAGUAUGGCUGUGUUCCAGUAAAAUUAAUUCACAAAAACGGCCAUUGUCUGGAUGUGGCCCACGUGUAGUUUGCUGACCUCUGGUUUAAAGAAAAGUGUGACUUUAAAAAAUCUCUAAACCAGUACCCCCAGGAGUUAAGCAGAAUAAAUCAUUAUGUACAAAUAGUCUCUACCUAUACAAA